AGUGAACGCUGGCGGUAGGCCUAACACAUGCAAGUCGAACGGCAGCACAGUAAGAGCUUGCUCUUACGGGUGGCGAGUGGCGGACGGGUGAGGAAUACAUCGGAAUCUACUUUUUCGUGGGGGAUAACGUAGGGAAACUUACGCUAAUACCGCAUACGACCUACGGGUUAAAGCAGGGGAUCUUCGGACCUUGCGCGAUUGAAUGAGCCGAUGUCGGAUUAGCUAGUUGGCGGGGUAAAGGCCCACCAAGGCGACGAUCCGUAGCUGGUCUGAGAGGAUGAUCAGCCACACUGGAACUGAGACACGGUCCAGACUCCUACGGGAGGCAGCAGUGGGGAAUAUUGGACAAUGGGCGCAAGCCUGAUCCAGCCAUGCCGCGUGGGUGAAGAAGGCCUUCGGGUUGUAAAGCCCUGUUGUUGGGAAAGAAAAGCAGCAGGUUAAUACCCCGCUGUUCUGACGGUACCCAAAGAAUAAGCACCGGCUAACUUCGUG
rnacentral:rRNA from 1 species